rnacentral:pre_miRNA from 1 species
UACAGCCAGUUUUGCAGGAUUGCAUUCCAGCUUAUUUCAAAUGCUGUGCAAAUCCAUGCAAAACUGACUGUGGU